GAUGAACGCUGGCGGCGUGCCUAAUACAUGCAAGUCGAGCGAACAGACGAGGAGCUUGCUCCUCUGACGUUAGCGGCGGACGGGUGAGUAACACGUGGAUAACCUACCUAUAAGACUGGGAUAACUUCGGGAAACCGGAGCUAAUACCGGAUAAUAUAUUGAACCGCAUGGUUCAAUAGUGAAAGACGGUGUUGCUGUCACUUAUAGAUGGAUCCGCGCCGCAUUAGCUAGUUGGUAAGGUAACGGCUUACCAAGGCAACGAUGCGUAGCCGAGCUGAGAGGGUGAUCGCCCACACUGGAACUGAGACACGGUCCAGACUCCUACGGGAGGCAGCAGUAGGGAAUCUUCCGCAAUGGGGGAAAGCCUGACGGAGCAACGCCGCGUGAGUGAUGAAGGUCUUCGGAUCGUAAAACUCUGUUAUUAGUGAAGAACAAAUGUGUAAGUAACUAUGCACGUCUUGACGGUACCUAAUCAGAAAGCCACGGCUAACUACGUG
rnacentral:rRNA from 1 species